UGCCAGACUCCUACGGGAGGCAGCAGUGAGGAAUAUUGGUCAAUGGUCGGGAGACUGAACCAGCCAAGCCGCGUGAGGGAGGAAGGUACAGAGUAUCGUAAACCUCUUUUGUCAGGGAACAAAGGCGGGGACGUGUCCCCGGAUGAGUGUACCUGAAGAAAAAGCAUCGGCUAACUCCGUGCCAGCAGCCGCGGUAAUACGGAGGAUGCGAGCGCUAUCCGGAUUUAUUGGGUUUAAAGGGUGCGUAGGCGGAAUAUCAAGUCAGCGGUAAAAAUUCGGGGCUCAACCCCGUCGUGCCGUUGAAACUGAUGUUCUUGAGUGGGCGAGAAGUAUGCGGAAUGCGUGGUGUAGCGGUGAAAUGCAUAGAUAUCACGCAGAACUCCGAUUGCGAAGGCAGCAUACCGGCGCCCAACUGACGCUGAAGCACGAAAGCGUGGGUAUCGAGCAGGAUUAGAUACCCGGGUAUA
rnacentral:rRNA from 1 species